CGCUGUGCAGUAAGCAAUAAAACGAGCCGCACAGCACGGGGAUAUCAAGGCUACCCUAAAUCACACAUUUCUUCAUAAAUGGCUUGAGAUGCAGAUACAGUGUGUGUUGGCUGAGGUUGUGUACAAGGACUAAUGCAGGCCAUGAGUGCAAGGUUUUUACUGGGCUCAAUCUGUACUGCUCAUUAAAGGGAAAAAAGAAUUCCUCAGUGCUGAGACCCGAGACAGACGGGGUCGACAUGAUAAUGAGCGGAAAGCUUAAGAAUGUGAUUACGAUCCAUGUACGUUGUGUUCGUUGUGUUCAUUUUAUAUGCAAUUGAAGAACAAAAUGUGAAUUACGAUGCCUUCGUUCCUUUUUUUAUUUCAUAUUGAAAGCUGAAAAAGGAGAAAAAUUACUUUCGGUGCACCUUCUAAAAGAAAAAAACGACUAUUCAUUUUCUGUAUUUGUUUAAUCCAAAUCUUACAACAUCAAAUAUGAUCAAUACAUGAAAGUCAAUGAUAUUUCCAAUCUAAAAAAGUACAUUUCAUUGGUGCACUUUGGAAGAAAUUUCCACUCUGUAGACAUCUGGAUGAAUAACUUUGAACAUUUUAGAAUACUUUAUUGACCCGACAGGGCUCUUCACAUAGCCUGGGGAUGUAGGAAGCUGGGGUCAAAGUGCAGGGUUGGCCAUGUUACAGUGUCCUUGGAUCACAGAGGGCAUUGCUCAAGAGCCCCAAGUGUAGCAGCUUGGCGAUACCAGGGUUUAAACUCUCAACCUUCCGAUCAGUAACCCGGUAUAAUAACAACUGAGCUAUAGACCAUAGAUCAUGUUCAGUAUAGACCCCUUAAAAAACAUGGCAAAAGCUUUUAUUGGUCUUAAUGACAAAUCAUUAGUCAGGAAAUGAGCAAUGAAUGAAGUAAAACAAAGGGUGUUGAUAAAUGUUCUGAAUCUGACUCUGGUUACAUGCUGACUCUGAUUUAAUUUGCAUGUUUAUAUGUUUAUUAGCUUUAUGAAAUUGCUAAUUAUUUCUAACUCCAAGAAUAUUCAAAAGUCAGAUUUUCGGAAAUGUAAACUCACUUUUAUUUUGAUAUACACUGGCCCUGACUCUGAUUCUCUUAUUUUCAAAUAUGUGCCUUAUAAUGUGCACACCUGGAUUUUGUUUUCCUUUAUUACUCAAAUAUCAUAGAGGUUCAGAGACAUGAUUCAUUAGAAAGUGUCUGUAUUUAAUUUCUCUCAGUUUUGAGUAUUA